rnacentral:rRNA from 1 species
UAGGGAAUCUUCCACAAUGGACGCAAGCCUGAUGGGGCAACGCCGCGUGAGUGAAGAAGGUUCUCGGAUCGUAAAGCUCUGUUGUUGGUGAAGAAGGAUAGAGGUAGUAACUGGCCUUUAUUUGACGGUAAUCAACCAGAAAGUCACGGCUAACUACGUGCCAGCAGCCGCGGUAAUACGUAGGUGGCAAGCGUUUUCCGGAUUUAUUGGGCGUAAAGCGAGCCCAGCCGGAAGAUUAAGUCUGAUGUGAAAGCCCUCGGCUUAACCGGGGAACUGCAUCGGAAACUGUGUUUCUUGAGUGCAGAAGAGGAGAGUGGAAUUCCAUGUGUAGCGGUGGAAUGCGUAUAUAUAUGGAAGAACACCAGUGGCGAAGGCGACGCUCUGGUCUGCUACUGUAGCUGAGGCUCGAAAGCAUGGGUAGCGAACAGG